rnacentral:rRNA from 1 species
AAGCGCUGAAAGCAUCUAAGCGUGAAGCCCCCCUCAAGAUGAGAUUUCCCAAUUAGUAAGACCCCUUGAAGACGACGAGGUAGAUAGGUUGGGGGUGGAAGUGCAGUAAUGCAUGGAGCUGACCAAUACUAAUCGGUCGAGGGCUUAUCCUAAA